rnacentral:misc_RNA from 1 species
UUUUUCUCCUCCCUGCAUUCCACGCAUUGCCGUGUUUCCGUUCUCCCUCAGGCAUUCCGCGCCUCCGGUGUGUUUUCGAUAUCUACCGCUCUUUUCUCUCACCCUCUCUUAGGGUGCAGCCGGUUUGUCGCUUCUUCGUGUGUCUCCUCUCGCUCUCUCUCGGCGUGCCAUUCGACUUUUAUACGUAUAUAAAUUUUUCCCGCUGGUGCUUCAGCAGCAGGAAAGGAACGCGCGACCGAGUCAGGCCAACGCGAAGGAUCCCUUCCCCAACACAGAAAAAAAGAAGGGCAUCACGCGCUUGCAGCUCCCCCUCUCUCUACCUCUUUCGUUUCUCCAGCUUUGUGGACUCUUGUGUGUUGCUGUUCUGUCUCCCUGUGCGACGUACACCACCCAGCCCAUCUGAGGAAACACAGGAGUCGCUCACGCGCACGCGCACAAGAAGGAGGCUUAAGGCAAUUAUAGCGCCGUGAACGGCGCCUGUGAGCGAACAAGAGGAGAUAGAUUUCCUUCCGAGUGUAGUCUCGUCUUAGUGUCUUUCAUCGCGUGCGCGCGCUCUCUCAUAUCUGCUGCCUACAAUUUUUUUUUUAGGCUGUAUUGCGUUUCUCGUUGCCGCGGCGCUCGCGUUCGAACGCCCCGUCUGACUUCAGUCUUUUUUUUUUUUGACUCGUCUUUGCAUUUUGUGCGGGUCUUGCGGAGCAAACAUCAAAAUGGACGCCAUCAAGACGUACACGUACAAGUCCGGGGCCGUCUACGAGGGCACCUUCGACGGCAACAUGCGCUCCGGCCGCGGACACUGGACCCACCCGCAGGGAGAGAGGUACGAGGGUGAGUACAAGGACAACAAGCAGAACGGUCUCGGCGUCUACAUCUUCUCCGAGACAGGCAAGAAAUACCUCGGCAACUGGGAGGCUGGGCAGAUGAACGGUGUGGGCCUGUACUUCUUCAACCGCGACUGCACCGCUUACUACUUCGGCAACUACACCAAAGACAAGAAGGAUGGCGAUGGUCACUACAUGUACGAGACUGGCGUUAUGACGACGCAGAAGUGGAACAUGGGUGCGCUGCUGCAGGAGGAGGAGACGCAGCCGUCGGAGAUCGUGGAGUGCGCGGUGAAGAUAAAGGAGUUGAUGGACGCUGUGCGCGCGGUGGCGCCAAAGGAGUUGGGCGAGAUGCCGCCACCGUCGGAGGUGCGCACUUUUCAAUUCCCGUCCGGCGCCACGUACACGGGUCAGUAUUUUGGCACCAAGAAACACGGUCGUGGCUAUUGGCUGCACCCGGAGGGCGAUAGCUACGAGGGUCAGUUCGAUAACAACCACCACAGCGGCUGGGGCGUCUAUGUGAUCGGCCGCAGUGGCAAGAAAUACGUGGGCCACUGGCGCAACGGCAAGAUGAACGGUAUCGGCGUGUACUUCUUCAACCCGCAGGAGACAGAGUACUACGUAGGCCUGUACCGCGACGAUGUGAAGAACGGCCGUGGCAUGUACCACUUCGCGGAGAGCGGCGCUAGCAUGGUCCAGAUGUGGGAGAACGGCGUGCUGCGACAGGAGAUGGAGGCCGACGAGGCCACUGGGAAGGCGUACGAGGCGGCUAUUCGAAAGAUCGUAGAGGUUGUGAAGCCGUACGCGCCAAACUACGAACCGGUGACGUUCGGGUCCUGAUACUAUGUCCUUCAAAGGUGUGCUAGCGGAGACAAUUGGAGAGAAAGCCCGAAGAGAAGAGCAGGAGGAGAGAGAGAGCAGGCGAGGAGACUUCUAUUUUUCCUUCUUCCUUCUUGCAUCCACAAGGCGCACCGCAGCAGAGCUGGCGAUUCCUCCUCUGCAUCUCUUCUUUUGUGCGCCCUCCCCCUCCCCCUUGAUGUGCUCUCGUGUGGAUCGCCGGCAUCGAAAUCGGAUUUACCGUUGCGUAAGCUGCCUCGGUGCAUCUUUGCCCCUCCCUUCCCUCCUUCACUCCGCCUUCGUCUUUCCUGGAGGCAUCGCACUGCGGCAUAGCGGAAGGGCGCCUCUGUGUGCGCAUAAAACUCCAACAAAGGGCGUAGGCGCCUUCUCUCUCUCUGUGUGGGUGCGUCUGCGUUUCUCGGCUAUUCGGUGCUCUCGUAUGCAUGUGGUGGCAGGGAGUCGCAGGUGUACGUGAGCAUGUUGGGGUAGAUGUGUGCCUCUUGAUGGGAGGCGUGUGCGCGUGUGUGCGCCACCAGGGGUGUAUGUGUGGUUUUCUCCUCUUUUUUCGGGCUGCAUGCCUUGCAGAUUUCCGUUCCGUCUUCUUCCGUGAGGGUGCGCAUGAAUCGUUGUCUACACAUUCAAGAGACAGCUCAUGUUUCUCCCCUUCCUCAUCUAGUGGCGCGCGCUCGGGCUGAAGAGCAGAAACGAGCGCCACCAAGAGCAAAGAGCGUGUCGGCGUGUGUGUGGGCGAGCACUUUUUUUUGUCGAAGUCUUUGCUGUUGGCUCACAUAAAUCAGCGCCUGUGUGCAGUACCCAGCGUUGUGCGAACUACGACAAGAAAGACCUUCAGAGAGAGACGAGUGUUGUUGCAGGUGGGCGUUCCUCUCGAUCUUUAUGACAGCAGAGCAUCUCUUCGAUAGGGCGUAUAAAGGACAGGCAGUGAUGCAAAUAGCAAGCAACAACAACAACGACGGGAACUUCACAAGAGCCCGCGAGACACCAAGUAUGCCCGCGCUGCAGGGACGCAGAGAGCUCGUAAAGGAGUGGAGAAGGGGUACCGUUUGCAUAACGCGCGGAGUUAGAGGUGAGGCGACGUGCGCGAUGACGCUCGAUGCAGCGGCGUUCGUUGUGUAGACACUGUCGCCUGUGCUGUAUCGCGGGCAAAAGCGCGAAAGGUGGUCUGUGGGGCCCUGCUGUCUUCUCCGGAUGAAGGAGCACUCUCUCACGCUUCCUCGGUGCGACGGCGCCGGUACUGCUGCGACGCCGAGGCUGUGGUACCCGUUCUCCGGACGUCGUGAAGCCUUCUCGCUCGUCUCCUCGUUUCUUGUCCUGCUCGGUCUCUUGUUUCCUCCAUGCACAUGCUCUUGCGCACCCGCGCACACCGCCGCACAGCUGCCUGUGCUCUGUGAGCCGAUAUGGAAGCAUAUAUGCAUACAUAUGCACUGCGUGCUGUGCGUAUCUUCCGCACCCGCCUCGUUGCCUCAUUGCUUUCUCUCCCUCCGGCUCUUUUUUAUUUGUCCUUCCCUCUCAACUUAG